AUAUAUUCCACCCAGCCUCGUCCCUGGCGCUUUGAUGUGCUUACUGGUUGCGUGACGCACGCGCGGGAAUCGAGGUGCGUUGCUCACUACGGGACGCGGAAGCGCCUCGCAGAAAACGUGUCGAUUUCUGAAAUUUCUGUCGAUUUCUGAACUUUCAAAGCCAUUGUUCGAUUUUCUUGAUUAUUUUGCUUUAUUCACGACGGAAUCAUGGACGAGAUCAGUGAAUCUCUUCACAAUAUUUCCUUUGAAGGUAAAUUUGUAUGAAUUUGUCUCAUUAUAUAUUUUAAUAUGAUUUAUUGUCUUCUUGACUGCUAUAAUUUUAUAAUUUUAAUAUUAUGUGAACCAAAUAUUUAUAUGAAAAUCAUUCUGAUCAACGUGUUCGUAGGGUUUUAAGGCUGCGUAUGAUUUCGUAUGAGUCCUUUAUACUGUACAUUUAUAUUUAUUUAGUAUUAGUAAAUUUUCCCUGACAAAUUUUGAGUGAUAUCUUUGCCAGGUUCUUUGUAGCAGUUAUUUAUAAUUACUGUGUAGUUGUAUUAUUAAAUUGUCAAUUCAUGACAGACAAGUGAAAAAAAGGUUUUGCCAUGCCAAAGAUAUCAGAUUCAAACCAUUCAAUACCCAUUGCAAUCAAGCAAUUACCAUAAACAUAUAACCCCCAACAUAUAACCCCCCC